rnacentral:sRNA from 1 species
AUAUUUUCUUUUAUUGCUGAGAAAGCUGUGAGGAUUAUCUUCACAAUACUUACGGCAUCUCCAACACAUCUCUAUUUUUGUCUCUACACUCUAUUUUUGCUUUUAUUACACUCCAACUCAUCUCUAUUCUCACUUCCAUUAUAGAGAUCUCUAUUUUUUUCUCUAUAUAUAGAAACAAAAAUAUGGAUCUCUAUUUUUUUCCCCUAUUUUUCUUUCUAACAAAUAGAGAUUUCUAUUUUUGAAGAAUUAUUGGAGUAAAAAUAGAAAUCUCUAUUUUCUCUUCUAUAUUUACA